GAGCAAAUAUGGUGGAGAGGGAAGAGAAUGAGCAGGAACCAGGUGUGUGAGUGUUGGGGUGGGGAUGGUAGUAAAGGGACAGACACACACACACACACACACACACACACACAACACAGGGACUGAAUCCCAAGCCCCUUGUUGACAGCAAGUCAGGGCCUAGGCAAUUUCUUUCCACCCUGGCAAGCUCUCUGCCCACCCUACCCAGGCCUGCGCCGGUGUCUCUGGGCAGCAGGUGCACCCAUUUGAUCCUGAAAAUGGGAGCUGCAGCUGGCUGCAGCUGGCUAGCAGGAUGCAAGAAAAAAGGCUUCCUCCUCCCCCAAGGUUGGGGCUGAAAGGCCCCUGUAUAGCCAGAGAGUGACUACCCCUAAACACCAGGUAGAGACCGCAUGGGUUCAGGCAGGUGGUAACUAGGUAAGAGCAGGGGAGGCCGUUUGUGCCCACACCGAAAAGUCGGUUAGAUGCCACUCCGCCCAGAGGCCCAGCUCACCCACAGCCUCAGGUGGCCGGUGGGCACACCCCACCGGACAGCUGUUUAGGGGAGAGCUGCUCAAACAGCCCUGGAAGGUAAGCAAACACUCAGGGGGUUAAUAGGUAACUACGGGGUUGAAAGAGGAACUGAGCCUGCCAUCCCUCUCUCUUUGGCUUUGCUAGGAUUUAUGAGUGCAACCUCCAGGCUGCCGACCUUGUCACCCCCCUGGGUUUUUCAGCCACCCUGGCUCCACCACCCCCUGCCGCCGCACCUGGAGAAGGACCCACCGCCUCAUUCUGGGCCAGUUGUAAAGAUCCUUAAAAGACCCAAGAUCCUUGGAAGAUCAUGGGAAAGCCAAGUCUGCAGUCACCAAUGAGAAUUGUUGUGCUGCUGAAAUAUCCUUUUCCUCUGUGUCAGAACAACAUCCCAAAGCCAUUAUUCCCUUUCCAAAGGAGCGGAAUUCGCGAAAGGUGUAAAAUACAGGAAGGGGCCCGUCAGCGGCGCUGGCAGCUUCAGCCUUUCUCACCGCCGUACUCCCCGCGUUCCCACGCCAAAAAUAACCCGCAGGAAACGCAAUUGUGCUCUGAGUCCAGGCAGCGAGCGGAAUCCGAGCGUC
rnacentral:lncRNA from 10 species